UCCUAUGGAUGAGUAAAGAGAAUGAUUUCUGGAGAUGGAAUUUACUCCUGGUGAAAAUGCUGUGAA
rnacentral:pre_miRNA from 1 species